GACGAACCGUGCGAACGUUGUUCGGAAUCACUGGGCUUAAAGGGCGCGUAGGCGGGCCUUCAAGUCCGGGGUGAAAGCCUCCAGCCUAACUGGAGAAGAGCCUCGGAGACUGAGGGCCUCGAGGGAGGUAGGGGCAAGCGGAACUAUGGGUGGGAGCGGUGAAAAUGCAUUGAUAUCCAUAGGAACUCCGGUGGCGAAGGCGGCUUGCUGGACCUCUUCUGACGCUGAGGCGCGAAAGCCAGGGGAGCAAACGGGG
rnacentral:rRNA from 1 species